rnacentral:misc_RNA from 1 species
AAAAACAUGACACAAGAAGAAGAAGUUGUACUUUUAGAUUAUUGGGCUAGUCCUUUUGGAACAAUGGCAAGAAUUGCCCUAGUUGAAAAGGGAGUCAAUUUCAUCCACAAGUUUGAGGAUUUGUCUAAUAAAAGUCCUUUGCUUUUGGAAAUGAACCCGGUUCAUCACAAAAUACCGGUUCUUGUUCACAAGGGUAAAUCUAUUUGUGAAUCAAAUAUCAUUAUUCAAUAUAUUGAUGAGAUUUGGAAAAAUAAUUCUCCCUUAUUGCCCUAUGAACCUUAUCAAAGAGCUA